rnacentral:lncRNA from 1 species
UUUGCCUGUUUGGCAGGUGACAAACAAGACAGCGAUUUCUAUAGCCCUAUCUCUAUAUUCCAUCCUUGUGCAACUGAACUAACAUCCUGAGAAAGGGAAGAGGAAAGAUUCAUCUCCUUCUCCCUUCGGCAGACACAGACAGAGAAGUGACUUCACAAAACCGUUCCACUUUGAUCCAAGAUCAGAGAGGUUUUUAAAAGGCAGAGUGUUUGUGUGCAUGGAAACAGCAGGGAGAGAGCCCCUCUGUCUGUUCCUUGUAAUGCAAGCCAGCGCAUGCAUUUCUUGCAUGAGCAACAAGACUCACCCCAGGGGAAUGACAGCUUGAAAGUUCAGAAUGACACUGAAGGAAACAUCAAAGAUUCUUCAAGAGCAAAAAAAAGUUUAGGAUGAGAUUCUUCGUCACAGUGUCAUCAUACAGGGUAACUCCACAAAUUUCUCUGGAGCUGAAAUUCAUCACUGAAGGAGAAACUGAAUUUAGGCUCCGUCUACUGUCACUAGAGAGGAAAAAGCGAAUCUUCUUCUCAGAACGAGAAAGAAAAGCUAUCUUAGAUUAGCCUGGACCCCAUAAAUACUUCUGUCAAAAAUUUAUUUCUGAUAAAUUGGCACUUCUUGAUUAGGCCUCACCCCUUCCCUUCCUUCUCAUCAGGAAACUUUUACCAUUUAUAAACACAAAUGCUACAACAUGCCUGACAAUAUAUUUUAUUUUAAAGGACUCCACAGUAAUUAUUUUGGUGCAAUACUGUAUCUAUUAGCUAAGAAAGGGUUUGUUCUGUGCAGUUUUAAUUAACUUCUCAGGAAAAUAACUGCUAUUCAUAUUCUCAAAGAGCUACAUUUGCAAAACAUGUAAAACUCAGUUUUAUAAUUAAGUUUAACAAAUGAGAAAAUUUUAUUUUUUGGACUGUUCUGCAAUUGUCCUUGACUGGUACCACAGUGAUGCUGACAUUUUUGUGUUAGCCUUUUACAGACUUUUAACAUACCUGGAAAAUGCACGAUUUGGUGAAAAAACAAGAUGAAGAGCUGUAAGCAGAGUAACUAGUGAUUGUUUGGGACUGUGAAAUUAAGAUACGUUUCAAGGAUAAUGUUAUUUUCAACAGUGGCCAGACUAUGCUACACAUAAUCUACGCUAACAGGAAAACGUGGAAAAAAAACUUACCUUGCUGAAGCCAAUGAGAGUUUUGCUACAAAAUUCAACGCUGAAAAAAGUUCUACCUAUCCUUCUUGCUCCCUAUUUUUUUUCUCAUAGAUGAGUUUUUGUCACCCUGACCCAAAAUCAAAAUAUUCACCAGUCUUUUUAUAUUUUGAGCAUGAAUCUCUAAAGUUACUCUAUGUUAUAGUAAUACAACUGAAGUCAACAGAAUGAGAAUCUAAAACUGUAAUACAUUGGUGCAUUAGGCUCAUUGUUUAUAAAAUUAACAUAAACAUGGCUGGAAAACUCCUUUCUAUGUACUAAAUCCAGCAGGCAGCUCUAGCAGUUAGACAGAAAGGAGGGUCAGAUGGCUGAUGCUGCCUGUGAAUAUAUUGCAAGGGGUACUUCUUGACUGCAUGCCUUUUUCU